AACAUACACAGAGCUCCUAUAUAUAUAUAUAUAUAUAUAUAUAUAUGGCCAAAAAAUAAAUCUUCAUAGCAACAAGAUUCUUGACCAUUCACAUCUUUAUCUCACAUUCAAAAGAAAGGGAAAAUCCAGUCUUAGUGUUACCACACAUAGACGUCAUUUUAAUUUGUCCCCAGAUGAUAUUACAUUAUUCAAGACAAAAUGGAAAUUGUUUUCACUGUAGUUCGUCUGAUAUUAUAGUAUCUAUAUGAAGUGAACCUGAAAACCUACCUCAGUUGCACAGGUAAGUACAAUUACUACAAGUACUAAGUAGUAUGCUUUUACAAAGUUUACAUUAGUUCCAGUUAUAGUAGAAUUUCUGAACAGACUUGAAUUCUCUCUAAGUAUAGCUUUGUAUCUAAAAUGCUAGACAUCUCAACCAUCUCUUGUAGUUUAAUAUGACUGGUAGAAAUACGUUUUUUCUUUGCCUGCUUCUGUGAUAUUUCUUAAAUGCCAGGUUUUAACAUAAUAAAUAUAAUGGGAGAAUGCUUCACUGCUAUAUUUUCUUUAGGUUAUUAGGAAACAAUAAAUCUGUCUAUGUUCAUAGAGUGGAAAAAAAAGCACUUGCUUUAUAUCAAAGUCUAGCCUGACCAGGACUUUCACUGAGUAACUUGGAAAGAUUUUAUGUUAUUUUUUUAUUACUCCUGGUUAUGAAGUUUUUGUUAAAUAUCUCAAAAAUGUAAAUGUACAGCUUUUCUCCCUCUCCCCCCCCACCUCAAGGCAUCUACAGUUGGUUUUUUUGGGGGGCAACUAUUAGGAUUAUGGAGAAUGACUAAGAAAAUUAAUUAAAAACAGAAUAUACACCAAGGGCUGUAAUUUAGGGCUGUAAUUUACAGCCCAUCAAGUUCAAAAUAUUUUCCUUAGCUCAGAACAUGUUCCACAUGUGUGUUAAACUCAAGAAAAUUAAAUUCAACCCUAUAUAUCAUAUUCCCCUUUUUCAUUAAAAUGUUAUUUAAAUGCUUUCGUUAAGUGGAGCGUUUAUUUAGACAUUAAAUGAAAUUAUGUUGAAAAUGUAAAUGAUCUAUUUGACACCAAAAGAGGAAAGAGGCGGUAACAGUUUUAAUUAAAAAUUCAAUCCUAGCAGAGUUCGCCCUCGUCAACUUAGAAAUAUAGCACGGACACUUUAUUAAAUUACAAAGUAUCUGGUUAAAAGCUAUCACUAUGUUAUGUGCUAAAUGAUCUGUUUCCAUGCUAGAUCCAGUUUCUACACCAAUUGGUGGAAAAACUCUGACUCCAGAAGGUAUCAGUUCUGAUUUAUCACUGCAGUUUUCUCAAAGGGAUAAAGUCAUUCAGAUGGGCUUGCUUGCUGGUCUGGCUACAUGGAUCUACAAGGAAUAAAGCUGAACAUGGCAUACACAGAGGGAUUGUAUGGGAACUGCUGAGUCAUGGCCUGAACCUCUGAUUGAUCACCUAAGGCGAGCCAUGAGUCAGCCAGAGGAGCACAGGUGAAGGGAAUUCAUCUGUGCUGCCAGAAGAGGUGGAGCCAGGCUCCAGCCCUCCUAGACCUAUUUAAGAGCUGGCUACCAGUGGGGAAGGAUCUCUUCUGGGGAUUGCCUCUUCUGGUGUUUUGUGGUGAGUCCAGCAUAAGGAUAAGACACUAGAAAUUCAACCUGGGGUAUGGAGUAUGCAUAUCUGGUGUACCUGAGAACUAUCCGAAAAUGAAAGAAAAUCCCUUUGGUGCGAACAAUAUGAAAAGUCUGGUUGUGUUAUUAUAUCUCCUCAGAAAGUAUCAAGAAAUUCUAGAACUGCUGUGAACCCUCCUCAUAUCUACAAGCACUCACCCCAUUGCUCCUGCUUUGUAUCAGUGGAAUACAGAACAAAGACAUUCCCUCUUUUUCCACAGCAGUUUCCUUGUCCUCUUAUACUGGGCAACAGUCAUCAAAAAUGAAUUUUUCUGAAAACUUUCAAAGUCUGUUUCUUUGUUAUGCUUUUUCCAUCUCUUACAUAUUUACUAUUAAUGCUUGCUGGCAAAUGGCUUAUUUGGUGAGGUUGUUUUCACAGAAUUUCUGUGUUUAGAAGCGCAAAAAAUGGUGAUGAUGUAAAAGAAAGCACUGAAGCCUCUAUUUCUGUAUAUUAUUGCUGUAAUUGUUAUUGUAAAAUACAGGAAGAACAAAAACAUGAAUUAUGUUUCUGGUAGUUAUAUUCUCACCAUAGUCUGCAUGUAUGGUUCUUUACUGCAAUAAAAGAACUCAGAAAAUGAAGCUUGUGGGAAACUGGAUUGGAAGGAAGGGGGUAAGGAAUAAGCUGCUCCAAGCAAAAUAUUUUCAUGUAUAUUCAGGGUAUACAGGAAAAUACUGUAGUAACAGUUACAGAUCAUUUUAGCAUUAAGUUCAUCUAGAGCUUCUACUUAUGAAGGUUGUUGGGGAGGAAUAUUUCAGCUACAUAUAAUGAUGAUGCUCAAUUCAGGUUUAUGUAAUGGGCUGAGACAGGAGAGAGUAUGCCAGCCUUUUGCAUUUGACAAGUAAGGAACUUCCAUUAUCUAACUAGAACUACAUUUUCUGUAGCUGUGAAAUCUCACCACUGGCAGAGGUUAUUUGCUAUUUGCACUGCUUUAAAGUGCUAUCAAAAUUUUGUUCUUUUCAUUGUGGAGAAGAUAGAUUAUUAAAUAAUUAGGUUUUUAACAAUCUUUUCAUAUGUGAACUGAAAACAAGAA